rnacentral:rRNA from 1 species
GGGAAUAUUGGACAAUGGGCGAAAGCCUGAUCCAGCAAUGCCGCGUGUGUGAAGAAGGUCUUCGGAUUGUAAAGCACUUUCGACAGGGACGAUGAUGACGGUACCUGUAGAAGAAGCCCCGGCUAACUUCGUGCCAGCAGCCGCGGUAAUACGAAGGGGGCUAGCGUUGCUCGGAAUGACUGGGCGUAAAGGGCGCGUAGGCGGAUGGCACAGUCAGAUGUGAAAUUCCCGGGCUUAACCUGGGGGCUGCAUUUGAUACGUGUUGUCUAGAGUGAGGAAGAGGGUCGUGGAAUUCCCAGUGUAGAGGUGAAAUUCGUAGAUAUUGGGAAGAACACCGGUGGCGAAGGCGGCGACCUGGUCCUUGACUGACGCUGAGGCGCGAAAGCGUGGGGAGCAAAC